GAUGAACGCUGGCGGCGUGCCUAAUACAUGCAAGUCGAGCGAACAGAUGAUGAGCUUGCUCCUCUGACGUUAGCGGCGGACGGGUGAGUAACACGUGGAUAACCUACCUAUAAGACUGGGAUAACUUCGGGAAACCGGAGCUAAUACCGGAUAAUAUAUUUAACCGCAUUGUUCAAUAGUUAAAGACGGUUUUGCUGUCACUUAUAGAUGGAUCCGCGCCGCAUUAUCUAGUUGGUAAGGUAACGGCUUACCAAGGCAACGAUGCGUAGCCGACCUGAUAGGGUGAUCGGCCACACUGGAACUGAGACACGGUACAGACACCUAAGGGAGGAAGCAGUAGGGAAUAUUCCGAAAAGGGCGAAAGCCUGACGGAGCAACGCCGCGUGAGUGAUGAAGGUCUUCGGAUCGUAAAACUCUGUUAUUAGGGAAGAAAAAAUGUGUAAGUAAAUAUGCACGUCUUGACGGUACCUAAUCAGAAAGACACGGCUAACUACGUG
rnacentral:rRNA from 1 species